rnacentral:lncRNA from 1 species
CCUGAGAAGUGGGGAACAAGGAAGCAUAUCAAGGCCGGCUUGAGGCAGGGUGGCCCGGGGGAGCCCCUGCCCUGGGCCUCAGCCUGGGUGACAGAGCGAGACUCCGAGAAAGAAAGAAAGGAAGAAAGAAAAGAAAGAAGGCACUCCGUGCUCUGCAGAAGAUGCCUGCCAGGAGUCCUAUUCUCCACCCAGCCAGGCCUCAUGGCCAUCUACACACUGACCCAACUCUUCACUGCUGGACUUCUACCCAGCAUCUUACAGAACAAAAGAUCGGCGGGGCACAGUGGCUCAUACCUGUAAUCCCAGCACUUUGGGAGGCCUAAGCAGGCUGGUCGCUUGA